AUGAACGCUGGCGGCGUGCCUAAUCCAUGCCAGUCGAGCGAACAGACGAGGAGCUUGCUCCUCUGACGUUAGCGGCGGACGGGUGAGUAACACGUGGAUAACCUACCUAUAAGACUGGGAUAACUUCGGGAAACCGGAGCUAAUACCGGAUAAUAUAUUGAACCGCAUGGUUCAAUAGUGAAAGACGGUUUUGCUGUCACUUAUAGAUGGAUCCGCGCCGCAUUAGCUAGUUGGAAAGGUAACGGCUUACCAAGGCGACGAUGCGUAGCCGACCUGAGAGGGUGAUCGGCCACACUGGAACUGAGACACGGUCCAGACUCCUACGGGAGGCAGCAGUAGGGAAUCUUCCGCAAAGGGCGAAAGCCUGACGGAGCAACGCCGCGUGAGUGAUGAAGGUCUUCGGAUCGUAAAACUCUGUUAUUAGGGAAGAACAAAUGUGUAAGUAACUAUGCACGUCUUGACGGUACCUAAUCAGAAAGCCACGGCUAACUACGUG
rnacentral:rRNA from 1 species